CCGAAAAGCUCCUUCAAAUCGAUAGUUUAUUAAUUAGUUAUUAUUUAUACGUUUUAUUUGAUCAACACGAAAUGUAGCGCAAAAUAAUAUUGAUAAAGGUACAACUGCUCGUGAAGAGAGAACGAAUCCGCAAAUAAUACCAAAGUGACGGUAUAAUGUAUAACGUUCGGGUGUGUGAAUGACCGCCGCCGUGUUCGUCUCAUCGGAGAAUACAUCAUUAAAGAAAUGUUUUAUUUAUCAAUUAAAUGGAUUUAUACAAUAUUUAAUGAUAAACCAUGGUAUAUUUUCAUAUUUCCUUGAAUUCUGUGCAGAGAGUCUCGCAAUAAAGUCGUAAGAAGUCUUGGUCGUAAGGUUCGACGCUGGGCAAAAUCGUAGAUAUGGCUGAUUUUCGAGUCGCCGGGGCGAAAAUUGGACGUCGAAAAAUGAAUUUUGGUAUCAGGAGAAUAUGAUGAGUGAGGAGCCAGGGAAUCAGGAGACUAUACGCAAACGUUAGUAACUCGUCGAAAAAAAAACAAAAGAUGGGCGGAGCGUCCCAUUGGUUGCCCGGCGCCAUCAUGCUUUUUGGCGCCUGGAACCAAUAGGAAGCCGCGAAAAAGCUCGGAGCAAACUCGUCUCCUAUUUCGACGAGUUACUAACGUUUGCGCAUAGUCCCUUAAUUUCAAAAUGGACCCCGCCGCCGGAUUGAACGUGAAUCAAAUUGGCAGAGCAGAUGUUAAUUUAAACGGGUUAAUUAAUAGUAUAUUCGGACGGAUAAAGAGUAUUUAUACAGCAGUGCAUUGAGAAUAGUUUGAAAAUCAACGGUAUGGCACUGCGAGUAUAUCACGUUAUUUUGCGAAUGCUCAACCUCCACUCUAACGAUUGUAUGACAGCUCCCAGACGUUUGCACCAGAUGAGAUUCCUAUGCGUGCUGACACUCAAUUAUACAAUUAGUAAAGUGAAUACUACUGGAAGUAAAUGUCACCAUUUCGGAGUAGAAGAAUCAAAGUGCAUCCUCAAGAGCAGAGGGGCUAGAAUGACGGCUAGAACAUUAGAUUCAAUCUAUAGAAGAGUCUUAUCAUACUUGGUUGUUUUUUGAAAUGAAUACUGGAAGCGUUGACCACUGCUAUUCGUUCCAUUCUUCCAGAUCGAACUGUAUUCGUCCCAGGGGAGAAUGCAAAGCUGAAACGACAGAGUGCUUGCGGUAUACGUCAGAUGUUAUUAUUACACCCCUGUGUACCUUGGCGGAAAGUCACUGCCAGUGUGUCGCUGGGCAAGGUCCAGCUGCCCACCGCGAGCAUGUUGUUGCUCUGCUUCUGAAAACGUCACAGAGAGUUUGAGAAAGAGAAAUCAUACUUCCUAGUACAUAUAUCAUUUUAAGAACUGCAAACAUUCCACAACCCAUGGAUAUGAAAUGCAAAUCUGCUGGAGACUUGGAGUUCUACGCAAAAAGAAUCGUAACCACAGGAUCCAAAAUGCGUACAACAACUUUCGUGGAUUUCAUUACAGCCGUAUGCCUUCCGAGGAUACUAUUAUGCCGGUCUUCACCUUCGGCAUAUGAAGCUUAAGUGCCCGUCAAAAUAUCCUUGAUUUUUCACGGUUUCGAUCGAAUAUACGGCGAUAACUCGAUCAAUUUCAUAGAUGGAAUUAUUUUGCUCGCAGAUUCGGAUUCCUGAGAUCAGAAUACAUAAGGAUAGCAUGACAAACCCUUCCAAAAAAAAUCUGGAUCUUCAUCUCAGAUUUUGAGAAAAUUCCAAGGCUAUAGGCUUACUGUUUGUUUCGGCAAAAAAGUGAAGCAUUUGCCAGAAUAAUUUCGGGACGCUUUUUCUAUGUAAAAAAAGCGUACCGAACGAGAAGCCGUCAAUGAAAUUGAGCUGGCGUAAGAUUCCAUCGAGAUUCGGAUUCCUGAGAUCAAAAUACAUGAGGAUAGCGUGGGGAACCCUUCCAAAAAAAAUCUGGAUCUUCAACUCAGAUUUUGAGAAAAUUCCAAGGCUAUAGGCUUACUGUUUUUUUCGGCAAAAAAGUGAAGCAUUUGCCAGAAUAAAUUCGGGACGCUUUUUCUAUGUAAAAAAGCGUAUCGAACGAGAAGCCGUCAAUAAAAUUGAGCUGGCGUAAGAUUCCAUCGAGAUUCGGAUUCCUGAGAUCAAAAUACAUAAGGAUAGCAUGACAAACCCUACCAAAAAAAAUCUGGAUCUUCAUCUCAGAUUUUGAGAAAAUUCCAAGGCUAUAGGCUUCCUGUUUUUUUCGGCAAAAAAGUGAAGCAUUUGCCAGAAUAAAUUCGGGACGCUUUUUCUAUGUAAAAAAGCGUAUCGAACGAGAAGCCGUCAAUAAAAUUGAGCUGGCGUAAGAUUCCAUCGAGAUUCGGAUUCCUGAGAUUAAAAUACAUGAGGAUAGCGUGGGGAACCCUUCCAAAAAAAA